CCCUGUAUCGAAAGUGAUCAUGGCAUCCUGUAGCCAGGUCAUUGAUAGUACAGGAAGAUUAUCAGCAAGCCUUUCCCGUGUUUGAAGGAGCAUCAGUUUCUAUCAGACCCUGGCGCUUGCAGACA
rnacentral:snoRNA from 1 species